UGACGUUGAGGGUCGGAAAAGCGUGGGGGAGCCAAACCAGGAAUUAGAUUCCCUGGUAUUUCACCCCCUCAACGAACGAUCACUAGGGUCGGGGGGGUAAAGAAACCAUUCGGUGCCGCAGCCAACGCAGUAAGUGAUCCUCCUGGGGGGGAACGUUCGCAAGAAUGAAACUCAAAGGAAUUGACGGGGACCCGCACAACCGGUGGAGCAUGUGGUUUAAUUUUAAGCAACGCGAAGAACCUUACCAGGCCUCGACAUCCCCCUGAAUGGGUGGUAAUGCAUCCAGCCCUUCGGGGCAGGGGAGACAGGUGGUGCAUGGUUGUCGUCAGCUCGUGUCGUGAGAUGUUAGGUUAAGUCCCGCAACGAGCGCAACCCCUAUCCUUAGUAGCCAGCGAGCAAGACGGGCACUCUAGGGAGAGUGCCAGGGAUAACCCGGAGGAAGGUGGGGAGGAGGUCAAAUCAUCAUGCCCCCUAUGGCCUGGGGUACACACGUGCUACAAUGGCGUAAACAAAGGGAAGGGAAGGGGUGAGGGUAAGCAAAACCCAAAAAUAACGUCCCAGUUCGGAUUGUAGUUUGCAACCCGACUACAUGAAGCUGGAAUCGCUAGUAAUCGCGGAUCAGAAUGCCGCGGUGAAUACGUUCCCGGGUCUUGUACACACCCCCCGUCA
rnacentral:rRNA from 1 species